GCCCCUGUAGCUCAGCGGCAGAGCGGGAGGCUAUGCCUCCAGGUCGCGGGUUCGACUCCAGCCGGGGGCA